rnacentral:rRNA from 1 species
UACCCUGAACUGCGGGGUAGCUCCGGGAAACUGGAAUUAAUACCGCAUGUGCCCUGAGGGGCAAAGAUUUAUCGGUUCAGGAUGAGCCCGCGUCCGAUUAGCUAGUUGGUGGGGUAAAGGCCUACCAAGGCGACGAUCGGUAGCUGGUCUAAGAGGAUGAUCAGCCACAUUGGGACUGAGACACGGCCCAAACUCCUACGGGAGGCAGCAGUGGGGAAUAUUGGACAAUGGGCGCAAGCCUGAUCCAGCCAUGCCGCGUGAGUGAUGAAGGCCCUAGGGUUGUAAAGCUCUUUCAGUGGGGACGAUAAUGACGGUACCCACAGAAGAAGCCCCGGCUAACUUCGUGCCAGCAGCCGCGGUAAUACGAAGGGGGCUAGCGUUGUUCGGAAUUACUGGGCGUAAAGCGCACGUAGGCGGACAUUUAAGUCAGGGGUGAAAUCCCGGGGCUCAACCCCGGAACGGCCUUUGAUACUGGGUGUCUUGAGUUCGGAAGAGGUGAGUGGAAUUGCGAGU